rnacentral:rRNA from 1 species
UACGUAGGGGGCAAGCGUUGUCCGGAAUCAUUGGGCGUAAAGAGCGUGUAGGCGGCCCGGUAAGUCCGCUGUGAAAGUCCAGGGCUCAACCCUGGGAUGCCGGUGGAUACUGUCGGGCUCGAGUCCGGAAGAGGAGUGUGGAAUUCCUGGUGUAGCGGUGAAAUGCGCAGAUAUCAGGAGGAACACCAAUGGCGAAGGCAGCACUCUGGGACGUGACUGACGCUGAGACGCGAAAGCGUGGGGAGCGAACGGG